rnacentral:rRNA from 1 species
GGACCCGCACAAGUAGUGGAGCAUGUGGUUUAAUUCGAAGAUACGCGCAGAACCUUACCAACACUUGACAUGUUCGUCGCGACUUUAAGAGAUUAAAGUUUUCGGUUCGGCCGGACGAAACACAGGUGCUGCAUGGCUGUCGUCAGCUCGUGUCGUGAGAUGUUGGGUUAAGUCCCGCAACGAGCGCAACCCUCACUUUUAGUUGCCAUCAUUUAGUUGGGCACUCUGAAAGAACUGCCAGUGAUAAGCUGGAGGAAGGUGGGGAUGACGUCAAGUCCUCAUGGCCCUUACGUGUUGGGCUACACACGUGCUACAAUGGUAUCUACAACAGGAAGCAAAACAGCGAUGUUAAGCAAAUCCUUAAAAGAUACCUCAGUUCGGAUUGCACUCUGCAACUCGAGUGCAUGAAGCUGGAAUUACUAGUAA